rnacentral:tRNA from 1 species
GUUCAACGGUUAGCAUAUCGGUCUUCCAAACCGAGGGUGCGGGUUCAAAUCCCGCUAUCU